rnacentral:rRNA from 1 species
GAUCUGGCUCAGGAUGAACGCUAGCUACAGGCUUAACACAUGCAAGUCGAGGGGCAGCAUGUGGUUGCUGCAACCGAUGAUGGCGACCGGCGCACGGGUGAGUAACGCGUAUCCAACCUUCCCCUUAGUAGGGCAUAGCCCGUAGAAAUGCGGAUUAAUGCCCUAUGUUCUUCAAUGCGGACAUCUAAGUUGAAGGAAAGAUUCAUCGCUGGCAGAUGGGGAUGCGUCCGAUUAGCUUGCCGGCGGGGUAACGGCCCACCGGGGCGACGAUCGGUAGGGGUUCUGAGAGGAAGGUCCCCCACACUGGUACUGAGACACGGACCAGACUCCUACGGGAGGCAGCAGUGAGGAAUAUUGGUCAAUGGGCGUAAGCCUGAACCAGCCAAGUAGCGUGCAAGGAUGACGGCCCUACGGGUUGUAAACUGCUUUUAUGCGGGGAUAAAGUGCGGCACGUGUGCCGCUUUGCAGGUACCGCAUGAAUAAGGACCGGCUAAUUCCGUGCCAGCCGCGGC